rnacentral:rRNA from 1 species
UGCCACAACCAUCACCAUGUAGCCCAAGACUGGUUGCCCACUGAAGCUAAGCAGGGUUGAGCCUGGUCAGUACCUGGAUGGGAGACCUCCUGGGAAAACUAGGUUGCUGCUGGAA